CACUAGGGAGAUUCUCUCUCUCUCCAUGUGGUGCUGUGCUGCAAAGUCAGCUGUCCUCACUGCCUGAUUGUCAGAUGAGCACUGCUGUGACAAAGCCACUUGGAAAAAACAGCUUGGAUCCUUCUUUGAGCUCACUGAUGUCCCCCUGUGUCUGCAACGCCAACACCCUCGUGUCUCCAGAGACUGAGGCCCCCCUUGCCAGAGAUCUGCUGUCCAAACCAGCAUGCUGUGUUAUGCCAAUCCAGUGCCUUGUCAGCGUGGCAGACAGCUGCAGUUAGAAUACAAGGCUUUUGUGUUCCACCCACCCCCUCAUCUCUCAGGUUUUAUUCCACUUCUUUGAACAGUGGACACAUUCCUGCCAGUCUCAGUGUUUUAAUUUAAUUUGGGCACAGACUAUAUAAAAUUGAACAGAUGUCUGAAAGCAGUGAAGAGAAGACCAUAAAAUGAAGCACAUGCUCAGCUCCAUUUGAACCAAGCAAUGCUGUAAUUUUUUUUGUCCCCAUUGCCACAAAAGUCACACAUGACUUGGAGGUGUGUGACAAGAGGGUCGAACAUGGGAAGAAGAGGAAACUAGAAGGUGGCAGCCUUGGGGUGAUAACUGAAGUGAAACACAAGACUGUCAAGAAAUAAGCCAUUAAAAAACUUCAGGAAAAGAAUGCAAUAUGUGCUGCCAUUUUCUUUUACUUCUCUUUCUGCACCAGCUGUGGUAUUUUUUUGCAGAGAUCUAAAAGUGGAAAACAUUUUUGUUAAAAGCAGUGACAUCAAUGAAGUAAAUGAAGUGGAAUUAAACAUAAAGGUUUUCCAUCCUUUCAGUCAACUCACCUUUUCAAUCAAUAGAAACCACCAUGGCCAGCUGUUCUUUUUCAUGGCCUUGCUUUAUGUACCCAUUUGGAACAGCAACUAGCACAUUCUGUCAUCUCUCCUGCAAGGUGCAAGUACUUUUUCUAUGUUCCAUCCUGUGAAUGAGGUCAGAUCUUUCCUCACUUUGCUUGUUCCUCUCAUUUUAGAGGAGAAUAACUCCUGAGUGACUUUAAUGGGAGAAGUGGAAAACACAGAACCAAGUCCCAAAGCUGGUGUGGCCAGCAGCAAUUAAAGUGACUACAGGAAAGGAAAGGUCCAUCACAUAAUGUGAGAUUAAAAAAAACCCAGCUAAAACCAACAUUUAAGUGCUUUAGACUUUCAGGCUUGAGGCAGCUAAUGUUACAUGUCAGGCUAAGGUUCACACCCUCCUGUUUUUGGCUGUGAGAGUCUUCCUGGAUUUUUAUGAUUUUCUGGUUUUGGGCAGGAUAUGCAGACAGAAAGAUGGGACAAAUCCAGACGUGGUUCCUGUUGAGAGGUUCUUCCAUAUGGCCCACAAGUACAUGGCACAGGUGCAUACUGGCAUGGGGCUGAGAUGAAAUUUUGCUAAUUAAUAUGUAUAGAAAUACUUUCUUUUUCUAGCUACCUCUCAGUAUCAGGACAUUCCUUCCUGAACUCACUGAUGUCUUCAGAUAUAUGUAUGUAUUGUCUCACAGACUUUGAUAUGAAAAGUAUAACAUAUAAAAGUAUGCUGAAGAAUUUGACUUCUCCAUGUAUUACACUUGAAUAAGGCUUUACAAACAGGAUAAAACCCUACCUUGUUUUAAAAAAAAUAGCAGUUUUUCUCACCUUUUGAAAUAGCCUCUUCAUGGACAGUUGAUGAGUAGUACCUUUUUGGUUAAGACUUCUUUUAACUCUGUGUCACUCUGGUGGUAACCUCUCUCUGGUGACAUAGAGCUAAUUUGUGACUUCUGAUGUGAUGAAGAAAAAUAUAAGAAUCUCCAGCUAAACAGUGGGAAUAAAUAAUAACCAUUUUUUUUAGACAAUUUCCAUCCCAAAAAUGUGACUACCUCAGAGUAUGGGACUGAUUAAUAUUUGAUGGUGAAAUGUAAGUUGAAAAACCCCCAACACCACAAAAGCAGGUAAUGAUGAUGUAGCCUGCCCAAUUUACAUGCCUUUCAGCGCUUUUCCCUUGUCUGUUUAGGCAAUGAAAACUUUGCAGUCCAUAACAUAAAGAUUUGUAACCUUUUCUGAUUUAUACUGCAUGCUAUAACAUACUUCACUCCUUAUUCAACAUAGCAUUCAUUUUUAAAAUUCUGUGGAGUCGUUUCCUCAACAGUUUAUACCAGCAAAUUUCACAGCUUGCUCAUUACAAAUGGAAGCAAAAAAGAAAUCCUUUUUUGGGAAGAUAAUUAGUACUUCCAACAUUCUGAUUUAUUAAAUACUAGUAGCAUUAAAUAUUCUUUAAGUGAGGAGGCUGUACAGGAUAGUUUCCAAUUUACCAAUCAUGACAGAAACAUAGAGUCUCAUCACUGCAAGGGGCCUUGAGUUGUUUGAUUUAUUUCUCUGUCCAAAGGAAGAAGCAGCUGUACUGAGGUCAUUUCUGAUGAAUAUUUGUGCAAAGUGUACCUAAAGACCUCCAGUAAUGGAGACUCCAUAAUCUUCCCAGGCACUCUAUUCUGAUGCUUCAUUAUCCUCCUAGAAAUUUUUCCUGCUGUCUGCCCUGAACCUUCAAUUUGACAAUCAGCUUAAACUUAUACCUGCAGGCCAUGAUCUAAUCACUUUUUUCAUUAUAAAGUUCCAGUUAACUCACCUGCAGCCACAUAAUUGCUCUCGCUGACCUAAGGGAGGUGGUGGAAUCCUGUGCAUGGGAAAAGGAAAAGGGUGCAACUGCAAUUCACAUUUUCAGACUAUUAUUUCCUCCCCCAUCCAGCACAGAUAUCAAGAACAGCCCAUGAAGUUAUCAGUGCCUGUGACUACAGCCAACAGUGUGACAUUUGAAGCACAGGUGUCAUUAUGUACAUGCUAAGGCUUGAAAUACAAGCUUUUAAAAUAAUAAGAACGGAAGACCUCUGCUUUGAAAAAUUUGGUCUGGGAAAUAGUUACCAAGGCUGAAAUGAUGUUGCUCAUUCAGGUCUGGUGAGAAGGAUGUGGGAGUACAUCAGUGGAGAAAGACAUGGUCAUGAAAACUCAAGGCUGGAGAAUUUUCUCUAUGUCGGAUUGCAGAGUUACACCCCCCACAGCCUGAAGGAAUGAACUUCCAGGAGGAAAAAUGGUCCACAUCAGAACAGAGCCUUGUCGAGACCCUCCGCCAACAGGCACUCCACACUUCAUCAGGCAGUUUUUCUCAGGGAUUCUGAGAAAAUUCUCAGGGAUUCUGAGAAGAUUCAAACAGAACUUUGCUGUCUCUUAACACCUCUAGCUGCAGCUCUUUCCAUCAAGGCUACAAAAUGAAGAUCUGUGUAUUACUGCAGAAAUAUCCCACUGGAAAAAGGCUGCAUAAAUUCUGGCCACUGUGUAAAUCCCACACUGAAGACUCACUUGGGAAGAAGAAAAGACACAAAAUGUUGUGCUGGCUCUGUAAGUGAAGAAGCUUUUCAGGACUUUUCCUUGGUCUGUACAGAAAGUGCAUAGGAAUGGAGAUCAAUUUAAGCUGUGCUGUGCAAAGAGGGGAGAAAUCUGGUGAUGGUCCUACAAAUGUCACUGACAAGGAAAAGAGAAGGCUAAAGGCUCUGCUGGAGUGGCUCCAUUGACUCCCAUGGCUGUCGUGGGCUUCAAUUUACAAAACAGACAGAAGAAGAGAAAACCCUUCCUCCACCUCUCUCCCCUGCAAUUCUUGAAAGUGACAUCUGUGCAGUGCUGCAGGAAAGAUUACACAUCUUAGUCUUAUAUUUUUUUACCCUGCCACUCCCAAUUUACUCAUGCCCACUAUCAUAAUAUUAAUUUUGAGCAGGGAGGAGUAAGGAGUGCUCCCCUGGGCCAGCGUGGUUCUCCUGGCGGGGAGCAGGGGGCUGAGGUCGCUGUGGCUCCAAGGGCACCAGAUCCGCCUUUCCCACCCAGGACCCAGGGCAUCUGUCCUGGGAGUCUGCCCAGAGCAGCCCCUGCUCGUCCCCCAGCACCCUCUGUGGCACCGCUCUGUCUUGCCAGCACUCCUCCUUCCCACCCCCCGCCUCACCUCCCCCGGACCCACUUCCCUUCUCGAAAAAUCCAUCCAUUUAUUUCCAAUUACAAACCACACCACAUAACACAAACAUAAUUGCUUAAAAGUUGUUCCACAUUUGAUUCACAUGCAUUAUGCAUCCUGUAAAUUAUGUACGACCUCCUCUCUUUUUUUUCUUUUUUUUUUUUUUGAGAAGUAUUAUUGUAGUUCCUCUCUUGAUAUAAGGAUAGUUUUUACAGUUAGAAUCAAAACCUAAUUCAUUUACAAUACCUGUCUCCUGAGGAUCACAACAUAAUGACAUUGGAACAGUAAAAAGACUACACAGGGUUUUCACUUCAAUCACAGCUGUUCUAUAAAGAAAAGAAACUUACAGAAACCACCAAGAGAGAUGGUGAUUUAUAUCCAGUAGGAUACAAUAUAGCUGAAGAUGACUUUCUUGCUUAAACAAGGAGGGAAAAAAUGAACUCAUAUGUAUGAUGUAAAUAGACUUAACCAUGGGUGGCUGUGGUUUACUAUAAAUAUUCAAUUCAUUAUGGCUGCAGAGACGUACAGCUCCUACUGCGUGCUGGUGUUCUCGCCUGUAUCUGUCACUUGCUUCUGUUAGUCAUAAGCCAGAACCCUCUUUAUGGUGACCCCCCCCCCUUUUAUUUUUUUUUUUCCUAGUUGUCCAGGAAUCAACACAUUCAGGGAUUUUUUUUUUCCUUAAAGCUUUGGACCUCUUAAUGGUAAAGAUCUCAUUGAAGGAGGUUUUUCAGCAAUGGAAAAAAACCAUGGGCCUGUGAGUUUGGAUCCCGUGAUGCAUCGCUCCUUGAAGUUACAUCUGCUCUUCUCUUUCAUCUCUCCUCUUGUUAACUGGGAGCUGUCACAUUAGGAGUUUUGGUGGAAGUGGCAUAAAGCAAGGAAAGAGAGACUGAUACACUGUGUCAUGACAAAACAGGCAGAGUAAGAGUGCCUUUGCAGUCACCUAUCAUCCAUGGACUACGUGCUGCUGGCCCAAAGCAUCAGACUUAACACAGUGCUCCUGAAGCCAACUUAACAGAGGCUGCUCCACUGAAAGCUUUCUGAAAUCAUUCUUAAAUUACGAUGCAUAAUCACUUGAAAUUAAGUCAAUUCAAAUGGCUGCUGAAUUGUGGUAUGAGGUCAGGCCCGUGGUCACUCUCUUCUGACACCAGCAAGAUUUUUCCUUCCAGGUCUUUUUCAUGCCCAGUGACCCCACCUUUGUUGGCUCAAGUGCAAACAUCACAUCUGAAGAACAAUACC